AAUAACGCCUAAAUUCCAUAAGACUACACUACCCAGAUUGCACUGCGGGCAUACACGCUGACGUGCCAAACCGUUUAAAUGCAAAUCAUCGUACACAAACAACCACAACACAGUAUAUUAUCGACAAAUUCCAUUUAGUUAAUCAUCACAGCGGACAGUGAGGUACCCGACCUGUAGCAGAAUCUUACCUUAAACAUACUGUCGCUUGCACCGCUGAACUUCCUGGUCCGGCAGCAUAAAGUGUCCCAGUGAAAGCGCGCACCAUGGGAGAGCUCUGCUUUUAUGAUAAAAAAAAUGGAUUCAGGACUCUUUCCUGCUCUUCUACACUUGGAUCCCCCAAUUCUUCCCACCAAUCCUUGCCACAAACGCAAUUCCUGACUGCUGGACUUCAACAGAGCCUCUUUAAUAAAGUCAUUCCCAGCAUCCAUGAUUGGUCGUUUAAGAACAUUUUUGUAUGGAAACAUUUCAUGUUAAGAAGACGUCAACGCACACCGUCCAUCCAUCAUCAUCAUCCGCUUAUCCAGGGCUGGGUCAACGUACACAAAAUCAAAAAAGUUUGUCACAAGGAAGUGAUGAGAAUAACACACUGGUGACUGGACAUUUAAUCAAGCCUGGAGGAAGCGCUUGGACAGUUUAGGGCUGCAUUUUAGCCCAUGGCUUUAGGAACAGCCUGUAUCAACCAUAUUUAUGUUCUACUUGUUAGCUCAUUUUCUCAGUCUAACGUACAGAUUAAAACUGGUUUUAAGAACAACAUAAAUGCUUCUGCUAAUGCUAAUGCUUUGAAAAUCCAUCCAAUCACAAAAUCAGAACAUCACAGACGGACAGGAAGUGAAUAAGACGAGACACGAGACACAGAGUCAAACAGUGUCAACCAUGUAAAUGAAAGACAAAAGCUGUGAUGUGACGAGCUCUAGGUUCGCAUCCCAAUAUUUCCCCAUUGAUAUAAUUUGUCGUUUUUGCCGAACGUACACUUCUAGAUGUGCUGGAUAUUUGAUAAGUGUCAAUUAACA